AUUGAACGCUGGCGGCAUGCCUUACACAUGCAAGUCGAACGGCAGCACGGGAGCAAUCCUGGUGGCGAGUGGCGAACGGGUGAGUAAUAUAUCGGAACGUGCCCAGUCGUGGGGGAUAACGUAGCGAAAGCUACGCUAAUACCGCAUACGAUCUAUGGAUGAAAGCGGGGGAUCGCAAGACCUCGCGCGAUUGGAGCGGCCGAUAUCAGAUUAGGUAGUUGGUGAGGUAAAGGCUCACCAAGCCGACGAUCUGUAGCUGGUCUGAGAGGACGACCAGCCACACUGGGACUGAGACACGGCCCAGACUCCUACGGGAGGCAGCAGUGGGGAAUUUUUGGACAAUGGGCGCAAGCCUGAUCCAGCAAUGCCGCGUGCAGGAUGAAGGCCUCGGUUGUAAC
rnacentral:rRNA from 1 species